rnacentral:rRNA from 1 species
ACCUACAGCCAUACCACUCUGAGUGCAGCUGAUCUUGUCUGAUCUUGGAAGCUAAGCAGGGUUUUGCUUGGUUAGUACUUGGAUGGGAGACCACAUGGGAAUAGUGAGUGCUGUAGGCU